rnacentral:lncRNA from 1 species
UUCAGGAGCUAGUAGUGGAUCAUCGAUGGUAUAUACUCGGAAGUGAUAAUCUAAUACAUCUAUUAUGUGAGCAAUGUUCUUCAUAUCAUCCAAUCUGUUAGAGACUCAAUGCCUCCUUUUAUGCUUUCUACUUAUCAUGAAUAUGCUUGUUCCUUAGUUUAAUUCGCGGUUAGACCUCAUAGCAUGCUUUAUGUAAUAGUGAUUAGAUCUAGUAUGUUGACCCUUCAUGAUAGCUAGACGCGUUCACUUGUGGUCAUGCCCUUAAACUGCCUAUGCUGAAGGGGGGAUCGUGACAGGGUCUACUUUCGUGUAAGGUGGAGGUUUUUAGGAGGUUGACCGGAAGUAUUAGUUUAAAGAUUGCUAUGGAUGAGAUGCAUGAUGUGCUUUUUUUCCCCUAGAACUACAACUAGAAGGCGAUAGGCUCUUCCUACAAUUGAUGGUGUUAUUUGAUAUAUGUGGAUAUGAUCUACCCUUAUUCAUGCCAUUGAUCUUUACAACAAGUUUGCCUUUAUAUGCAAUCAACGCUUCAUUUUAGAAUUGAUCUGCUUCAUUUUAGAAUUGAUUUGUUAGAUUAGAUGGAAAACCGUAGUUAGUUUGGUGCUGAUUGACAGAUUGAUAAAAUUUGGAUGAAAAACUCUAAGGCCCCGUUUGGAAAUGGAGGAAUUGGAAUCUACUUAAUGGAGUAGGCUAAUUUAUCUUGGAAUGUGGCAUUCCACAACUUUCCAAAGUUUAGAUAUAAGUCUAUCUUAAAUUCAUGGGGUGUGAGAUGAAAAUUGAUUGUAUAUAUUAUGAUUAUUAGAAUGGAAUUCAAUUCUUAUAGCAUGCUUUUGGACUCGUAGAAAUGCAGCACAUAAGUAUCUCUCCCAUAUCGCCAACAAUAGUAUACAAAUAUAUUCCACGUACAAUUAUAGUAGCUUAAUUAAUGUUUGUCUAAAUUAUGAUUAUUAGAAUGGAAUUCAAUUCUAAGGAUCCAAACGGGGCCUAAGGGAAAAACUACAAUGAUCUAUACACUUGCGGUUCACAAGCUGACACACUAACUGCCACCAAUAGUUCACAAACUGGCGCACUAAUUGUCGCCCGUGGCAGCGUUGAGAUGGUAGCUUCAUCUAUUGCCGUAGAAGGGG